rnacentral:rRNA from 1 species
GAAAUUAGGAAGGAUUUUAGAUAAUCAUACCCAGAACCAGCACAGGUGCCCCUAGGUGAGAAGCCUAAAGUGUGAAGGAUUAAUCUAAUUGAGGGAAUUCGGCAAAUUAGCCCCGUACCUUCGGUAUAAGGGGUCCCUGCAAUUGUUGUUAUGCAAUUGAUUGCAGGGUGCAAUAACUAGGGGGGUCCGACUGUUUAACAAAAACUUAACUGACUGCUAGCCUGUAAAGGUGUGUAUAGUCGGUGACAUCUGCCCAGUGUCUGUACUUUAAACUUCCUUCCAAGGAAGCUAAGAGCUGGUAAACGGCGGGGGUAACUAUAACUCUCUUAAGGUAGCGAAAUGCCUUGCCGUUUGAAUGACGGCCUGCAUGAAUGGUAUAACGAGAUCGCCACUGUCCCAAUCUAGAGUCUCCCGAACACUCUAUCCUGGUGCAAAGGCCAGGGACUUCCAGUGGGAAGCGAAGACCCCGUGAAACUUUACUACAACUUAUUGUUGCGAUGUGGGUUUUGAUGUGUAGUGUAGGUGGAAGUCGCUAAAGCUUGGUCGUCAGGUCAAGUGUAGACAACAAUGAAACACCACUCUUCAAAACCUACGUUGCUAAUCUCGUAAGAGAAACAGCGAUAGGUGGGUAGUUUGGCUGGGGUGGCACCCUGUUGAAACAAUAUCAACAGGACCCAAAGGUUGGCUCAUGCGGGUCAGGAAUCCGCAGUUGAGUGC